UUGCCCAUUCGACGCUUUCUCCUGAUGCAUCGCAGUGGCUAACACAGGGGGGUAGAUCAUGGCCUCACUAAAACACAGGGAUUGAGGGCAAACACUUCCCCCUGUAUCCUGUCGUGAGGUACACAC
ensembl:snoRNA